rnacentral:misc_RNA from 1 species
GCCCCAUUCUAUUAACCAAGAAUUUGCGAGUAUGUGGUGAUUGCCAUAUUCCUAUAAAACUCAUCUCUUGGUACAUAGAGAAAUAUUACAUUUAAGAGAUGCAAGUCGGUUUCAUCAUUUCCAGGAUGGAAUUCGCAAUUGUGUAGAUUUCUGGGAAGGACAAGGAUGCAUAUUUUACAGAAUGGUUGAUCUCAUGUAAGCAUGUUUCAACUUGUUGGCUAUGAAACAACUAUUCUGCAUCAGGUAAAAAUUCAUUUACUAUUCAGAUUGACACUUUCCAGGUUCCUUUGCCGCCAUACACUGCAGCCUGAAUUUGAAACGUCAUACAAUGCCAGGCAUUAAAAAAGGGAUCUAAAACUGUUUUGGGUCAUUUUGAAAUUGCCACCUUAAUAUUCAGAAUGUAAUAGCUCUCCACACUUGUAGGCAAUAAAGAAGUUGCUGAGACUCUCAUGAAAUGCCAUUUCUUUUGGUUUUUUUGCUUGCUGCUGUGAUUUUAUCAUCUUGAUAUCAAUGUCUUGACUUUGACAAUCUUUGAACAACUGUUUAGGCUAAACCAUUCUUUUCUUUACUACCGUAAGAAAUGACCAUGAUUACUGCAGAUUCAGGAUUUUCAAAGGAACUGGCAAUCCACACAACAGCCUUCUAUCUCAUCACGUUCUCAGGAUUUCAUGGAUAGAGGCAUCUAUAUGUUGGUAACUUCGUGAUGCAUUUGUGUUCCAAUACACCUUCUCAGAGUUAUCUGCAUUUUUUUUAUAUCCUACAUUCUCCUCCUACACUUGGUUAAAAAAAAAAUAAAAAUAAACUGCCAGUGGCGACAGGGGAAGAGAGACAGACAAACAAAUGUGCAAAGGUAUACAUACAUGGACAUCAAAAGUUGCCUCUUUCAUGGUAGUGCAGCACUCAUGAAUAUCAUUCUCUUUCCACAUACUUAUUCCCCUCCACCACCCUCUUCCCCCCCUUACCAUUUACUGCGUAAUGCUCUGUUUUCCAUGUCUGUCUCUUGGAUGAACUGAUUAGUAAGACCCUUAAAUAUUUGCACGAGUUUUCACUUAUUUCUGCUUUCUACUUGAAAAAAAGAAAAUGAAGAUCAGGAAAAGAAAAAACUUUAAACAAAUUAUUUUUUCUGUCUUUAAUGCUUUGUUUCAAAUAAUGGUUGAAUGUUUAUAAUAAUAAUAGCUGUGUAACUAUGAUAUCAUUAACCAAAAAUUGAUUGCUACCACUUUUAACUGUAUGUGCUGUACUUUCUGCGGGCUUAA